ensembl:lncRNA
CCUGGUUAAAAAAUAGCCAAAGGACCUAAACGAACAUUUCUCUAAAUGUACAAAUGACCAAGAGGUAUCUGAAAAGGUGUUCAAUAUCACUAAUUAUUAUGGACAUUUAAAUUAAAACCACAAUGAGCUAUCACCUCACACCUGUUAAAAUGGUCAUUAUUAAAACUGCAAAAAAUAGCAAGUGUUGGUGAGGUGUAGAGAAAUUGGAACCCUGUGCAUUGUUAGUGAAGAUGUAAAAUGGUGCUACUGCUAUGGAAAACAGUAUGGAGGCCUCUCAAAAAAUUAAAGAUAAAGUUACCAUAUUGCAGUAGUCUGUUCUCACACUACUAUAAAGAUAUUAUCUGAGACUGGGUAAUUUAUAAAGGAAAGGGGUUUCAUUGACUCACAGUUCCACGUGGCUGGGGAAGCCUCAGGAAACUUACAAUCAUGGUGGAAGGUGAAGGAGAAGAAAGCACCUUCUUUACAAGGCAGCAGGAGAGAGUGUACAAGGGAAACGGCCACUUUUAAACCAUCAGAUCACGUGAGAACUCCCUCACUAUCAUGAGAACAACAUAAGGGAAACCGCCCUAUAAUCUAGUCACCUUCCUCCAGCACCCUCUCUCAAUAUGUCGGGAUUAGAAUCAGAGAUGAGAUUUGGGUGGGGACACAGAGCCAAACCAUAUCAGAUAUGAUCCAGCAAUCUUGCUUCUGGGUAUAUAUCCAAAGGAAUUGAAAUCAUGAUCUUGAGAUAUCUGUACUUUUUUGUUCAUUGCAGCAUUAUUCAGAGUAGCCAAGAUAUGGAAACAAGCUAAAUGCGAAUUGAUGGAUGAAUAGAUAAGAAGCAUGUGAUGUGUAUAUAUAUCAUGUGUACAAGGAAACAUGGAGCGUGAUCUAAGGCAACUACCAGCAUUGAUUUUGAUCAUAAGCCAGUUGCUUAAAGACCGGUGUGGAAAGGGCUUAAGAAGGAAGAGGGCCAGAGGGAAAUUACCAUCUGGAGACAAGAUGACACUGGGAACUUGGAGGAAAACGUUCAGGUACCGUAUGAGGAAGCAGAACACUGGUUGUAGGUUGUGUAUCAAUGGCUUUCUAUGAGUAAGUGACCUGAAAAUGUAUGUGACUAAGCACCAUAAUGUGGAUUUCUGAAAGCUGAAUGACUUAAAGAAAAAUCUGCUUAUUUCUAAGAAAACCAACAAGUGGUUUCUUUCAGUAAGUUAUUAAAUUUCUUUAAGGCAUGAAUGAUCUAUUAUGUAAGGAAAGUGUUUGAAUACAGGUAUUCUGUCCUUAAGUUUGGACAUUCCUGGAAACCAAACAGCCUAUAAUGCAAAGCUCUGCUGUGUGCAGAUCUGUCCUUCUUUCACUAGUCUCUUCUAUAUUUAUGUCUCUAGUCAUAGUUUAUGUGAAUAAUAAAUUAGGCUGUGGAGUCCCUUGGAAUUCUUAUUUAAUAUGCUGCCAUUUCCUUAAUUAUUAAAAGCUUUUACACCUUCAUAAGAGAUGCUUAGUUGCUAGAGCCUCUCCAUACACUAAUUCCCAGAAGAUGCUUAAGAAAUGAGUCCCAGGAAGGUGUCCAUUGCAGGAAUUCUGGAUAGGACUCUGAGCUUAUGGACAGAUGUUGAUGCAAACUGACUUGAGACAGCGCAACCCUUAAGGUACCUUUAGAAAAUAUUCGUGGCUGCAAAAAGUUCUUGGGGAGAUGCAGUUUAUCUAUUUCUCCACAACAUUAUUACUAGUUUAUAAUAAAUGUAAAUUUCAAACCAAAUUAUUAAACAAACACAGUUUACCAAGUGUGAACAAAACUGUAUGCACAAUAUCUUCUGAAAAUUUGAUAACAUUCCCACUCUCAGUCUUUUCAAGUGCCCUGAAGACCACCUUGCUUAAAAGGUUUACUUGAAACAAUUAUAACAAUAAUCUGGAGGCAAGAUUUGGCUAAUAUUGUAUCUGGCAUCAGGAAAACAGAAUUCUCCACUGCACCGUCUGGACCCCAGUGCAAGUAAGAUCUAAUUCUCAAGCUUUGUGUCCAAAGAUCCUUUCAUGCAAGGGUGGGAGGUAUCUCUAAACCUUCAGACAACAUAUCUUGAAUACCACUACUGUCACCAAAAAGGACCUAUUUGUAAUAUUCAUUAUGCUUUUACACAAGCAUGAUUUUCACAAAUGAAGCCCCAUUUCCUAUGUGCAUUAUCUUAAUUGGCAAAAAUCUAGCACUGACAAGAAAAAAAGAUAGCUGAAGUCCUUGCAGUACAUUUCUCUGAAGUGAGGACUGUCUGAUGUCUACUAGGUGAUCAUCCCUGGAAAGUGAAUUAUCAAUUAAGGGUAUAACUUAAACUAAAUAACACAUACAUAAUAUCACACAUCAAUGUUGAUGUACUUUAAAGUAAAUGUAAGGUAUGCAAGUCACUAUUCACAAUAGCAGAAACAUGGAAUAAACUCAGGUGCCCAUCAACAGUGACUUGGAUAAG